CUGGUGCGCGGAGGCUCAUGGGUUAUGUAGUCAUAACCAGGCUUAAAGGAAGUCAUGUUCUCUCUGUACAGUAUUCACCAAAGUCAAGAUUAAGUAGAGGAAAAAAUUAUGGAAUCACUCAAUGUUGAGAAAAAAAAUUAUGGAAUCUUCAACAACAACAACAACAACAACAACAACAAUCAGAAUUAGUACAUUGUUGCUCCUCUUCUGGUUUUUAUGUUGGCGGAUCAGCUUUGCAGGAUGGAGCCUAGUCAUGGACCCAUUUAUUUACAUUUCCACCAUCGGAUUGAGAUCCGGACUGUUUGCUGGCCGAGUCAUUGAGUUGAUCUGCCGUUCCUGAAGAAAAGCUUUAACACUCUUUGUUCUGUUGCGAGAUGCAUUAUCAUCCUGAAACAUGGCUUCAUCAUCACUAAACAUAUUUUCUUUCGAUGGAAGGAGAAAAGUGUCCAAAAUUUCAGUGCAACCCCAUAUCAUAAACAAGUGGGGAAAUAUGAUUGUUUUCUUCAGGAAGUCAUCUUUAUAUGUUUUAUUAUAACGACACCAGACAAAAGUUCCAGCAUCAUCUCCUUGGCCAAUGCAGAUUUCUGAUUCAUCACUGAAUAUCACUAUCAUCCGAUCAUCCACGCUCCAUGAUUACUUCUCUUUAGCCCACUGUAACCUUGUUUUCUUCUGUUUAGGUGUUAGUGCUGGUUUUCGUUUGGCUUUUCUAUACGUAAAUCCCAUUUCAUUCAGCCCAUUGCUUACAGUUCCGUCACAAACAACUGACUACGUUUACAUGAACAGCAAUAAUCUAAUUAUUGACCUUAUUCUGAAUAAGACAAUAUUCUGAUUAAGGUGUUUACAUGAGUUGCUUUUAGAAUACUCUUUUCAUGUUCCUGUUUUACGUGUUAUAGAACAUAGAUCGAUUAACGGCACACGUCAUUACGUCACCACGCCGCGCCGUCCGACGUUCCUCCAGAAUUUCACGUAUCGACAUACAGUUCGUCUUCGUUAUGGUUCCGUAUACAGUUUUGGGUGUUUCCUUUUUAAAAGCUUCAAGUGGCGUUAAUUAUUUGUCAUGUUAUACGUGCAAAUAAACGACUGCUUGAAAUACAUUGAAAGCCAAAAUACACAUAUUUCACCUACUAUACAGUAGGUAAGUACGCGGUUUGGGACGCAGCCGUGCUCUCUUGUUUGCUAUGAAACGGUUGAGCGCUGCCGUGUGUGUACGUGUCCUGUGGCAAAAUGCAGUGAAAACUCCCACACGGCGUUAAUAGUGUGAUUAAGGUGUGUACAUGUCUGUAAUACACGUCGAUAAUGCCACUAAAACAGGAAUACUCCACAAGUCUUAAUUCGAUUUGUGUUUACUUCGAGGAUGACUUUAGUCGGAUUAAGGUCAUCAAUAUUCGCUGUUUACAUGCUAGUUUAUUAAUCAGAGUAUCGUCUUAAUCAGGUUAAUAUCAGAUUAUUGUUGUCCAUGUAAAUGUACUGACUCACUCCUGUUUCUAUUUGUUUUUCAUUUGUUUUGUUGUGCAUUUUCUAUUUUCAAGGAAUAUUACUUUGAGUUUUCUAUCCUGACGCUUUGGCGUCUUCCUUGGUCUAUUCGUAUGUUUUCAUUUUAUAACCUUCCCAUUUUGUUUAUACUUGCACCAAAUUUGUGUUGUAACGACGUCACAUGACACGUCUUGGCCCAAACCUCUCAGGAAAUCACACAGUAAUUUUGAAAAAUUGCAAGCUCCUCCGAACGUUGUGGAAUUUGCUCGAUUUUCCGUUGAUUUCUGCGGUCGCAAAAUCGCGAAAUCCUGGAGGCACCGACAUUAACCAGUGGACACGCAAACACUGACUACCGCACGUGCAAAUUUAACGUGACAUGCAAAUGUGUGACGGUAUGUGAAAAGAAUGAAUCGUGUCAGAAAAUCACGUCUUGAAAAUAAAAAAGUACAUGUGAUAACGUGUAUAAUAAAUGAACUGUGAAUUGCUCGUGUGAAUUUUCUGGGAAGAGAAGGAAAGAAAAGCAAGAGGAAUAAAAAGAAAAACAAUGAAAGUAAUUCAAAUGUCAGUAAAUCCAGGAAUAUAGACCCAUUACUCUCCUGAGGUGUAUUUGCAGUAGGCCAGCUCAGAUAGCACAUUUUUUUGCCAGCGUAAUCAUUAUCCUUUAAUAUCACCCUGGAGCCUGAAGGAGAGUUCACCUUCAUCACAUUCGCUCUAUAAAAAUGUCUAAAAUGUCGAGUCUAAUUAGAGAAGCAAUGAUCGAGUCCUACGCCUUGAUGAUCUUGGUGAUGGCGACGUUUUUUGUGUACUUCUGUGGUAUGGUCUGGGCGUUCUGCAACCCGAAACUCAGUGGUGCAGAGGAGGAAGACAUCGCAUUGGAGUGCGUGAGCGAGACGGGACAGAGUGACGGAGUUUCACUGGAGCUGUGUGUGAGGCAUGGAGAGCUGAGAGGCUGUGGAGCAUACACACCAGGUGGUACACAUGAUCGCCCGGUGAUGCUGGACAUACAGCCCUACAGCGGCUAUAUUAAUUACUUUUAUGACGUGGAUUAACUGUCGCUUUCUUUCAAAUUCAACAAUUUAUCCCAAUUUCAUGUGAAGUAGUGACAAAUAUACUGUAACUCCUGAGGUGGCAGACCCUCUCCGAAUAUCACACUUGCCAAAAUUCAGGACCUCAAAAGAUCACUAGUGGAUAUCCGUCUCUUCCUUCAGUGUUGUAUUCAUAGUAUCAUUUAAUGUUGUGUGCCAAUAUUUUUUACAAAUUGCGCUUUGUUCUGUCCCUUGUACUUUUGUUGACUGGUUAUAGAAAGGCUAUCGUGGUAAAAAAAAUCAAUGCUAAAUGUAAGGUGUCUCUUCAUUCUUAUAAUACACAUCACUUCUUUGACAAUAAUAGAAU